rnacentral:tRNA from 1 species
GGUAAAAUGGCUGAGUAAAAGCAUUAGACUGUAAAUCUAAAGACAGGGGUUGAAUCUCCUUUUUACCA